CCUACGGGUGACAGCAGUGAGGAAUAUUGGGCAAUGGACGCAAGUCUGAACCAGCCAUGCCGCGUGCGGGAAGACGGCUCUCUGAGUUGUAAACUGCUUUUGUACGGGAGUAAACGCAGAUUCGUGUAUCUGUCUGAAAGUAUCGUACGAGUAAGGGUCGGCUAACUCCGUGCCAGCAGCCGCGGUAAUACGGAGGAUUCAAGCGUUAUCCGGAUUUAUUGGGUUUAACGGGUGCGUAGGCGGUAUGAUAAGUUAGAGGUGAAAUCCCGAGGCUCAACUUCGGAAUUGCCUUUGAUACUGUUCGGCUAGAGAGUAGGUGCGGUAGGUGGAAUGCAUGGUGUAGCGGUGAAAUGCUUAGAGAUCAUACAGAACACCGAUUGCGAAGGCAGCUUACCAAGCCACUUCUGACGUUGAGGCACGAAAGCGUGGGGAGCAAACAGGAUUAGAUACCCCAGUAGUC
rnacentral:rRNA from 1 species